rnacentral:rRNA from 1 species
GAUGAACGCUGGCGGCGUGCUUAACACAUGCAAGUCGAACGGAAAGGCUCCUGCUUGCAGGGGUACUCGAGUGGCGAACGGGUGAGUAACACGUGGGUGAUCUGCCCUGCACUUCGGGAUAAGCCUGGGAAACUGGGUCUAAUACCGGAUAGGACGAUGGUUUGGAUGCCAUUGUGGAAAGUUUUUUCGGUGUGGGAUGGGCACGCGGCCUAUCAGCUUGUUUGUGGGGUAAUGGCAUACCAAGGCGUCGACGGGUAGCCGGCCUGAGAGGGUGUACGGCCACAUUGGGACUGAGAUACGGCCCAGACUCCUACGGGAGGCAGCAGUGGGGAAUAUUGCACAAUGGGCGGAAGCCUGAUGCAGCGACGCCGCGUGGGGGAUGACGGCCUUCGGGUUGUAAACUCCUUUCGCUAGGGACGAAGCGCAAGUGACGGUACCUGGAGAAGAAGCACCGGCUAACUACGUG